rnacentral:rRNA from 1 species
GCGUCGUCUUCAGAGUUUGAUCCUGGCUCAGGAUGAACGCUAGCUACAGGCUUAACACAUGCAAGUCGAGGGGCAGCACAGUGUAGCAAUACACGGGUGGCGACCGGCGCACGGGUGCGUAACACGUAUCCAAUCUGCCCGUUACUCGGGGAUAGCCUUCUGAAAGGAAGAUUAAUACCCGAUAGCAUUCAUUAGCGGCAUCGCUUAUGAAUUAAAGAUUUAUCGGUAACGGAUGAGGAUGCGUACGAUUAGCUGGUUGGCGGGGUAACGGCCCACCAAGGCGACGAUCGUUAGGGGUUCUGAGAGGAAGGUCCCCCACACUGGAACUGAGACACGGUCCAG